UGGUUCUAUAUACUUUUAUAUUAAUAAAGUACAAAAAAUAGCUACUUCCGGUUUACAAAAGGUCACUUCCGGUUGUUUUUUUCAAGGUUAAAUGGUUUGAUAUUUUUUCUAAAAGUUGUAUAUCUUUAUCAUGUAUACAUAUAGAAUAAAAGCAAAGGUCAAAAUCUAGAACGUCAAAUUAAGCUAUGACCUUGAGAUCAAUUUCAAGGUCAUAAACCAAGGACCUCAAAUCAAAAGACCAUAGGUCUUAAUUAUAUUUAGUUAAUGAGUUAAAUCACCAAACGUGUAUUUUUAAAUACAAGAGGGGAGAAAACUCCCUUUUACAUUCAACGUACGCUUGCAAUCAAAAUUUACAUCUUACGACAUGUCGCAACUAACAAUUUAGUAAAAAUAAUUUGUUGAUAUCUUAUACAGUCUUUGGAUAUAAGUUAAAAUAAGCCAA
rnacentral:lncRNA from 1 species